ensembl:snoRNA
UGCCAAUGAUGCCUUAUGUUUUGUGCAAUGUAUCUGAGCCACAGAAUGUUAAUGAUGGUAUUGAUGAACUAAAGAA